CAGAGGUUAGCUGGAUUACUAUUUCACCAGAAAGCAGGAAUGUCACAGGUUCCGCAAGCCUUGAGAGGUCCCAGAGCCCUGCUUGGACUUUACACCCUCUUUACAGCCUGCCGUCUUGCCUCUCCACCCUUGAGUAGUGCAGGAUCGCAGCCAGCAGCUUGCUGAUGUCCCAGUACUCAGAAUCUGAGAACAUGAGGAUCUUCAUAGCUGAGCGGAUGUGGGCAUAAUCCUUCGCAUCAUUCCGGCCAUCGCAAGACAUGCAGUUUCCCUGCAAGACACCACAUCCACAGCUCGUGCUCAAUGAGGAUAUAUUGAACCAUCUGCAUCCCUUCUGCACAUUCCUGAUUGACAGCAAACCACUUAGAAACCACUUUACAAGAUGAGUGGACG